GACGAACGCUGGCGGCGUGCUUAACACAUGCAAGUCGAACGGAAAGGCCUCUUUCGUGGGGUACUCGAGUGGCGAACGGGUGAGUAACACGUGAGUAACCUGCCCUUGACUUUGGGAUAACUUCAGGAAACUGGGGCUAAUACCGGAUAGGAGCUCCUGCUGCAUGGUGGGGGUUGGAAAGUUUCGGCGGUUGGGGAUGGACUCGCGGCUUAUCAGCUUGUUGGUGGGGUAGUGGCUUACCAAGGCUUUGACGGGUAGCCGGCCUGAGAGGGUGACCGGCCACAUUGGGACUGAGAUACGGCCCAGACUCCUACGGGAGGCAGCAGUGGGGAAUAUUGCACAAUGGGUGGAAGCCUGAUGCAGCAACGCCGUGUGCGGGAUGACGGCCUUCGGGUUGUAAACCGCUUUCGCUCAUGACGAAGCUUUGUGUGACGGUAGUGGGUAAAGAAGCACCGGCUAACUACGUG
rnacentral:rRNA from 1 species